rnacentral:rRNA from 1 species
AUGAAGUUCGGGAAGAGGCUCAAGAAGCAGGUGGAGGAGAGCCUCCCGGGGUGGAGGGACAAGUUCCUGGCGUACAAGCGCCUCAAGGUGCUCGUCCGACUCGUCUCCGGCUCCUCGCCGCACCGUGCCGUGGCGGAGGCCACCUUCGUGCGGCUCCUCAACGACGAGGUGGACAGGUUCAACGCCUUCUUCCUGGAGCAGGAGGAGGAGUUCAUCAUCCGCCAUAAGAAUGUGCAGGAAGUAAGGGAGACGGUGAAGGCGGUGGCCGGCGAGGAGCCGUCGGAGGCGGAGCGUGCGGUGGAGAUGAGGAAGGUGAGGAGAGAGAUCGUGGAUUUGCACGGGGAGAUGGUGCUGCUCCUCAACUACAGCGCCGUCAACUACACAGGGCUGGCCAAGAUCCUGAAGAAGUACGACAAGCGUACGGGGCGGCUGCUCCGGCUGCCCUUCAUCGAGGAGGUGCUCAAGCAGCCCUUCUACACGACGGAGCUCAUGUCGAGGCUCGUCCGCGAGUGCGAGGAGACCAUGGCGGCCGUGUUCGCCUCCGACAACAGUGGUGACCAGUGGACGAGGAAGUGCUGCACCGACACUGGCAUGGCUCCUAUGGCACCAGAGCAGGGCAUUUUAAGGAACACCGUCGCGGCGCUGGUGGCCAUGCGGGAGCUCCGCAGCGGGAGCUCCACGUACGGGCACUUCUCGCUGCCACCCUUGGCAAAGGAGACGGAGCAUGGCCUGCUGCUGUCCAUCCAGGUUGCCGAUCUCGUUCAAUCUGAGGCACAUGGUAUUGUCCGGGUGGUUUGA